rnacentral:rRNA from 1 species
AUUGAACGCUGGCGGCAGGCCUAACACAUGCAAGUCGAACGAGCGGCGGAAGGGUGAGCAAUGAAUCUGAAUCUACCUUGUGGAUGAGGAUAACGAAGGGCAACUGACGCUAAUACCGCAUACCAUAGACUGAGCCGAUGUCGGAUUAGCUUGUUGGGGGGGUAAAGGCACACCACGGCGACGAUCCGUAGCUGGUCUGAGAGGAUGAUCAGCCACACUGGAACUGAGACACGGCCCAGACUCCUACGGGAGGCAGCAGUGGGGAAUAUUGGACAAUGGGCGCAAGCCUGAUCCAGCCAUGCCGCGUGGGUGAAGAAGGCCUUCGGGUUGUAAAGCACUUUAAGUGGGGAGGCGGUACCGAAAGAAGAAGCACCGGCUAACUUCGUGCCAGCAGCCGCGGUAAUAC